UACGGGGGGAGCAAGCGUUGUUCGGAAUUACUGGGCGUAAAGCGUGCGCAGGCGGCUUUGCAAGACAGAUGUGAAAUCCCCGGGCUUAACCUGGGAACUGCAUUUGUGACUGCAUGGCUGGAGUGCGGCAGAGGGGAUGGAAUUCCGGCGUGUAGCAGUGAAAUGCGUAGAUAUGCGGAGGAACACCGAUGGCGAAGGCAAUCCCCUGGGCCUGCACUGACGCUCAUGCACGAAAGCGUGGGGAGCAAACAGG
rnacentral:rRNA from 1 species